UCAUGCUAGCUCUGUGCCUGGAGAAAAUUUUCUGAGCACAAAGAGGUAGAAUGCAACCAGAAAGAAAACUGUGGCCCUACUGAACUGAGGAAGAAGAGGUCAGAGUUCUGGAAUCAGAAAGAGCAAGUAGGAAGGGUGCUGCACCUAAGGACUCUAGAUCCUUGGUUUGGGACUGGGCCUCACACAUGUAAUGUGAGGCUCUUGAGACUGAGGAGGACUGCUGUUCGGUCAGGAUCAGAAGGAAUAUGCUAGAGUUCAAGCCACCAUGCAAGAUCCGUGAGCAACUCCUUAGGUGAAUUGUGAAAGACAGCCAGGGCCUAUAUUUGGAGUGCAAGGGUUCUGGAAGUUUCUGUAUGUCCUGGAAGUAAUGUGGAUGUGGUAAGAGAACUGGAAAAGAGCAGAGAUCAGGAAGCAGAGGCUGAAGAGUGAGAAGAACACCAGCACUAGAGGCCACCACUGGGAGGUCAGCAGGGGAGAAGUACAGAACCUGAGAGAACAGAUGAAUUCAGCAGUGCUUCAUGAUAACAAAUUCUUCAAAUUGCUCGGGGUUAUUUAGUGGCCAGUGAAAACUGUGAUCUAUACUGAUUAUCUGAAGAAACUUUCGUGUGUAGA
rnacentral:lncRNA from 1 species